CCAAUCUCUUCCUUUGCAUCUUGCUUAUAUGCCAAAGCAGUGAAUAUAGACUGCUGAUUCUUCCAUAAUCCCAACAUUUCAGCUUCCACCUUGUUCCAAAUUUUAGCACAUCUUACUGAAGUACUAAGCUCAUAAUCACCAAUUCAUUUCAAACCAUAUAACUCAUACUCAGCAUCCAAUGUAAUAUUACACGUCAUCUCACAAAACAAUAUCUUUAUAGAAACACAUAAUGGGUACCCAGCAGAUAUGCCAAUACAGAAAUCACAUUUAUGGGCACACAACUACACACUCUGUCUCCCUCCUAGGAAACAAGGAUAGACACAAUAUAAAAGCAAUCUUAAACUAACACCUCCAAAUCUCCAACUAUUCUUGGCCAAAACGCAAGUAUUCAACAACUAAUAAAAGUUAUUUGCUAGGUUAUUUGGCUGUC